rnacentral:rRNA from 1 species
AUGAAUAUCCUAGCAUGGAACUGCCGGGGGGAACCGCGGACAGUUCGUGAGGUUGUGGCCCUCUCAAAAGCCAAUAACCCCAAGCUUGUUUUCCUUUGCGAAACCAGGAAAGCAUCAAAUAGAGUGGAGAACUUGAGAUGGAGACUUGGUCUGAAAGGUUUCCAUGGUGUGUGUAGUGACGGUCGGAGUGGAGGUUUAGCGCUCUUUUGGGACGAAUCUCUCUCAUGGAGGAGUACUUUUGUUUACGGGGAACCACGAGUUGAAAACAGACAUAACAUGUGGGAUCAUCUAACCAGGCUACGAGUUGCAUCCCCGUUACCUUGGUUUGUUUGUGGAGAUUUCAACGAAGCUUUGUGGCAACAUGAGCAUCUUUCUAGGAUGAUGCGAGCAGAACCCCAGAUGGCAGCCUUUCGAGACUGUCUUAUUCUAUGUGAGCUCGAUGAUCUAGGCUUCAGUGGUAUUCCCUACACAUACAAUAACGGGCAGGAUGGUAACCACAAUGUGCAAGUACGUCUUGACCGUGCAUGUGCGGAUGAAACGUGGAGAGAGUUGUUUCCAGCUGCUAGGGUUGUGCACCUAGCUUCGUCGUGUUCUGACCAUAGCCCACUCCUAGUGCAGCAGCAAGGAGUGCAGGGAGACCGAAGGAGGUGCGCAAACCCAAGGUAUGAGAUCAUGUGGGAGAGGCAUCAGGCGCUCCCGGAGAUAAUUGCAAAAUCAUGGGCUACUAGCAAACCUAGUGGGAACCUGAACUCGGUGGCGGCUGCAUUAAAGCAGCUCAUGACAGACCUGAAGCAAUGGAGUGCUGCAAAGUUCGAAAAUGUCCUGAAGGAGAUAGAACUCCUCCGUUCUCAACUUGCUGACCUACAGCUCUCUGGUGCGGAUCGGGCUCUUCUUUGA